GGAAAAUGGACUCAGUGGCCUUUGAGGAUGUGGCAGUGAACUUCACCCAGGAGGAGUGGGCUUUGCUGGAUCCUUGGCAGAAAAAACUCUACAGAGAUGUGAUGCUGGAAACCUAUAGGAACCUGGCUUCAGUAGGUGAUGAUGACAACAUUCCUUCACUUAGAGAACAAGUUGCCCAUCAACGAUAUUUCAAGACCUGGCAUGUGGAAAGGGAAUACUUCAGUAAAUAAAC
rnacentral:lncRNA from 1 species